CCUUUAUAAGUUGGUCAUCAGUCAGUUUGGAGAUAUGGGUUGUUCCCACAGUCAAUAUUUGGUGGUUUCCAACAGCAACGGGCUUGUGUACGGAAGAAAA